CAAAGCAGAGAUUUCAAUAUGUCCAACUUGAUGGUACAUAAAUAAAAAGGAAAUCACUGAUGCAUGAAAAGUUAAACAGAAAUGUUUUAGAGUUAAAAGUUAGACAAAAAAUACAUAUAUAGGGUAGAUGAUCUAGUUAAGCAAUUUUGGUCAAGAUGGAAAAGAACGGUACAAUCAAGAGAGAAAUGGAAGUGCAUUGUGACCAGUGGUGUAGAACAGCAUCUGAUGGUGAUAGUUGUGGAUGACAAAAUUAUAAAUAAUGCAAUUUUGCAAGAGAAUUAGAUUUUUAGUAAUGAUUUUCUAAAGCCUUAAUUACAGUUAAG